CAACUUUGCUAUCUUAGAACGGAUCACCAGUGAAAGAGGGGAAGUUGCUACUGUGAUGAAUUCUGCCAUGUGGUACCAGACUGCUGCCCAGACCACAGUGUCCUCUGCAACCCUGCUUCUCAGAUGACCAAGAUGGUGCUGCCGAUGGUGUUGAGGACGGAGAACCCACCAAGCCCCGUUAGGAGCCACCUAGACUGGAUGCAGAGCACAGGGCAAGGAGAUGAAGAAAACGAGGAAGUUAAACUUUAAAAUGAAGAGCUGAACAUACUGAUACAUUGAUUCUUUGGAGAGGAUCUCAGAACUCAUUGUACUUAACAAUUUACAGGCUAAAACCUUUGAAGAGGAAUUUAUUAUAUCCUACAAACCUGGGAGGCAGAGGUUGCAGUGAGCCAAGUUCGGUCCAUUGCACUCCAGCCUGGGCAACAAGAAUGAAACUCUGUCUCAAAAAAACAAAAGUUGGCUAGGGCCAGGUGUGGUGGCUCACACCUGUAAUCCCAGCACUUUGGGAGGCUAAAGCAGGCGGAUCACCUGAGGUCAGAAGUACAGGACCAUCCUGGCUAAUAUGGUGAAACCCCAUCUCUACUAAAAAUACAAAAAAAAAAAAAAAAAAAA
rnacentral:lncRNA from 1 species